rnacentral:tRNA from 1 species
GCCGCCGUAACGUAGGGGUGUAGAAGCCGCGGAGCCUGGUAGCGUACGGGCCUGUGGAGCCCGGAGGCCGGGUUCAAAUCCCGGCGGCGGCC